AAGUCGUAACAAGGUUUCCGUAGGUGAACCAACGUUAAACAACCCUGUGAACUUUCAACCGCCGGAACGAGAUUAAUUUCCAACUCCGGUGAAGGCAAGUGACCUGGCACCUGGACCACAUCAAAGCUCUGACAGAGUUCCUCUGGAUGCUGAUUGAAGGGUGACGCAGUAACGAUCGCUGGAGGCCCACACGGCCGGCGACUAGGUCAGCGAGCUAACGCUCCCUUAAAACCACUUAACAUGACGACAGUUCUCUUUAACUUGAGUUGAGCUAUAACAAAAUGGAUAUCUUGGUUCUC
rnacentral:misc_RNA from 1 species